AAUAGAUACCCCGGUAGUCCUAGCCGUAAACGAUACUCGCUAGGUGUCGGCCACGGUGCGACCGUUGGUCGGUGCCGUAGGGAAGCCGUGAAGCGAGCCACCUGGGGAAGUACGGCCGCAAGGCUGAAACUUAAAGGAAUUGGCGGGGGAGCACCACAACGGGUGGAGCUUGCGGUUUAAUUGGAUUCAACGCCGGAAAUCUUACCGGGACCGACAGCAAUAUGAAGGCCAGGCUGAAGACUUUGCCGGAUUAGCUGAGAGGUGGUGCAUGGCCGUCGUCAGUUCGUACUGUGAAGCAUCCUGUUAAGUCAGGCAACGAGCGAGACCCACGCCCACAGUUGCCAGCGUACUCUCUGGAGUGACGGGUACACUGUGGGGACCGCCGCUGCUAAAGCGGAGGAAGGAAUGGGCAACGGUAGGUCAGUAUGCCCCGAAUAUCCCGGGCUACACGCGAGCUACAAUGGUUGGUACAAUGGGUAUCUACCCCGGAAAGGGGUACGGGAAUCUCCCAAAACCGAAUCUUAGUUCGGAUUGAGGGCUGCAACUCGCCCUCA
rnacentral:rRNA from 1 species